AUACGGGGGGGACGAGCGUUGUUCGGAUUCACUGGGCGUAAAGGGCGUGUAGGCGGACCUUUAAGUCGGGCGUGAAAUCUCGGGGCUUAACCCCGAGCCUGCGUCCGAUACUAUUGGUCUUGAGUAUGUGAGAGGAAAGUGGAAUUCCAGGUGUAGCGGUGGAAUGCGUAGAUAUCUGGAAGAACACCGGUAGCGAAGGCGGCUUUCUGGCACAAUACUGACGCUGAGGCGCGAAGGCCGGGGGAGCAAACAGAAUUAGAAACCCUUGUAGUCC
rnacentral:rRNA from 1 species